GACGAACGCUGGCGGCGUGCUUAACACAUGCAAGUCGAGCGGUAAGGCCCUUUCGGGGGUACACGAGCGGCGAACGGGUGAGUAACACGUGGGUGACCUGCCCUCAGCUCUGGGAUAAGCCUGGGGAACCGGGUCUAAUACCGGAUAUGACUCCAUGACGCAUGUUGUGGGGUGGAAAGCCUUGUGCGGCUGAGGAUGGGCCCGCGGCCUAUCAGCUUGUUGGUGGGGUGAUGGCCUACCAAGGCGACGACGGGUAGCCGGCCUGAGAGGGCGACCGGCCACACUGGGACUGGGACACGGCCCAGACUCCUACGGGAGGCAGCAGUGGGGAAUCUUGCGCAAUGGGCGAAAGCCUGACGCAGCGACGCCGCGUGAGGGAUGACGGCCUCGGUUGUAACGU
rnacentral:rRNA from 1 species